rnacentral:rRNA from 1 species
AGUGAACGCUGGCGGUAUGCCUAACACAUGCAAGUCGAACGGCAGCACAGUAAGAGCUUGCUCUUACGGGUGGCGAGUGGCGGACGGGUGAGGAAUACAUCGGAAUCUACUUUUUCGUGGGGGAUAACGUAGGGAAACUUACGCUAAUACCGCAUACGUCCUACGGGUGAAAGCAGGGGUUCUUCGGACCUUUCGCGAUUGAAUGAGCCGAUGUCGGAUUAGCUAGUUGGCUGGGUAAAGGCCCACCAAGGCGACGAUCCGUAGCUGGUCGGAGCGGAUGAUCAGCCACACUGGAACUGAGACACGGUCCAGACUCCUACGGGAGGCAGCAGUGGGGAAUAUUGGGCAAUGGGCGCAAGCCUGAUCCAGCAAUACCGCGUGAGUGAAGAAGGCCUUCGGGUUGUAAAGCCCUUUUGUUGGGAAAGAAAAGCAGCAGGUUAAUACCCCGCUGUUCUGACGGUACCCAAAGAAUAAGCACCGGCUAACUUCGUG